UUUCCACCACAGCAGUGUAAUUUCCCUUUAAAAAGUCUGUAUGAGAGAUUUUUUAGGUGGUUGCUAAGGAAGUAGACAGUGGCAACGGAGCACAUGUCUGAUAUGGAGGAGAUGUACAUUUUCAUGUACAGCUAUUGAAGAAAAAUAAAGAUAAUCUCUGAACGGCCAAGCCAGAUGUCCUGGAGGAUCCUGAGCUGUUUUUGCUUGGCACCUCAUGGCUGUAAAUGUUACAAUCCAGAAACCGCAAUGUUUCAGCCAUGGGAGGAAGCUUGCCCCUCAACCAGCACAUCACAUCCUAACACAUCCCACAAUUUAAGUCUGCAGCACAUUCCGGACUUACACGAGGGGCUUAUUGGUCAGUGGUGUGCCGUCAAUUAUGACGGAGAUGUGUACCCGGGUAUCAUUCAAGAUAUCGAUGGUUACACCGGUGCUCUUGUUAAAACAAUGAGCCGCAUAGGUAACAAUCGAUUCUAUUGGCCAGAGAGAGAUGACAUCAUCUGGUACCAAUCUGAUAAAGUAAUAGGCCUUAUCCCUGAGCCUGUACCAGUGACCAAACGGCACAAGGAGAUUGCAGUGUCAGUCUGGAAAGAAAUUAGUCAAAUCCUUGACUAGAUUUGGCCUUUAAUUACAUUCAGACAUUCACACACACAUGUGCCGCACGUACAUCCACGCACAUGCACGCACACACACACACUUUACACACACUAUGCGUUGAAAGUAUGAGGUACAUUUCCAAUGGGUGUUGUUCAAGUUCUAUACAGUAACUCAUACAUCUGUUCAUCUAAGAAACCAAUUCAAAUUUUUAAAAUAUACAUCCAACUGUCACAAUUAUUUGAUGUAAUUUGGAUGUAUCAUUGCUUAUGUACAUUUUUUCCGUGCCAUUAUUUUGCAUUGUAAAAGCAGUUUUGUCUCACGACAGUUCAACAAAAAUGUUUCAAAUAAAUGUUUCUACUGUUUUCAAUUGAA